GUUGUAGUCCCGGGCCGCGGCCGGGUCAUGGCAGCGACGGGCAGGCUCGGUCCGGGCGGUGUGCCCGCGGUGCCGGUCGCCAGCGGCCACAGCAUUCCGGUGCUGGGGCUCGGUACUUCCCACCAGGGUGGCUAUUCCCAUGCCGCAGUGGUCCACGCCCUGAGGAAAUGUGGCAUUCGUCAUAUUGACACAGCAAAAAGAUAUGGCUGUGAAUCGCUCAUCCAAAAGGCCAUCAGAGAGAGUGGUGUGAAGCGAGAGGACCUCUGGAUAACUACCAAACUGUGGCACAGUGAUUAUGGCUAUGAAAACACAAAAAAGGCCUGCUUGGAGUCAUGUGAAAGACUUGGUGUUGAAUAUCUUGAUCUUUAUUUGAUUCACUGGCCUGAUGUACAAGUUCUAGGUAAAAGCAAUCGAGAGGUCCGAGCUGAAACCUGGAGAGCGAUGGAAGAGCUAUAUGAGAAAGGUUUGUGUAAAUCAAUUGGUGUAAGCAAUUUUCUUAUCAGCCAUCUUGAACAACUAAAGGAGGACUGUGUGAUUACUCCACAUGUUAAUCAGGUUGAAUAUCACCCUUUCCAAAGACCUCAGGAGCUGGUUGAUUAUUGUAGGAGCAGAGAUAUUGUUUUUGAAGGCUACUGUCCUUUAGCCAAAGGUGAAGCACUCACUCAUCCUGCAAUCAUUCAGCUGGCAAAGAAAUAUGGCAGAACUCCAGCACAGAUUUGCAUACGCUGGAGCAUACAGAAUGGGAUUGUCACUAUUCCAAAGUCAACAAAGGCAGAACGGAUAGAGGAAAACUGCAAGGUGUUUGAUUUUACAAUAGCAGAAGAUGAUGUUGAAAUUCUGAAUGGAAUGCAUGAUGGGAGACAUGUUUCCUGGGAUCCAACUUCUAUUGUGUGAAUCAAGGCACUGUAGGUGUGGCCAGAGUUGCGGGAUGUGCUGCUCAAAGGAGCACGGCACGGACGGAUUGGAGCAGGUCUCAGUUGCUGUGCCCAAGAGGAAUGUGUGUGAUCCUAAUAGUGGCUUGGCCAGCCAGUGCCCUUUGAGGAGCAUUCUGCAGCUGAACUACUAGUAGGAACUUUUAUAUGUUUUUGAUUUUAAUCUGAGGAAAGAAGAUAUGGAAUCUUUGAACACUGAUUAUCAACAGAAAAUUAAUUCAUCUAACCUAUUCCCUGUAGAGAGAAUAAUUUAAAACCAGAUUUUUCUAAACUGGAAAAGUGAUGUAACUGAAACAUGGAUUAGUUUUAAACUGAACAAUAAAUCUGAAUUGUUCUAUUAGGUACUCAGUGUACUCAAGAAUCAAUAUAAAUUGUUUGUAUUUACUCUUAUGUUAACAAAUUAAUAAAAUAAUUUACUCUUUGUA